rnacentral:rRNA from 1 species
UACGAAGGGGGCUAGCGUUGCUCGGAAUCACUGGGCGUAAAGGGUGCGUAGGCGGGUCUUUAAGUCGGGGGUGAAAUCCCGAGGCUCAACCUCGGAACUGCCUUCGAUACUGGCAAUCUUGAGUCCGGGAGAGGUGAGUGGAACUGCGAGUGUAGAGGUGAAAUUCGUAGAUAUUCGCAAGAACACCAGUGGCGAAGGCGGCUCACUGGCCCGGUACUGACGCUGAGGUGCGAAAGCGUGGGGAGCAAACAGG